GGUAACGGCUCACCAAGGCAACGAUCAGUAGCCGACCUGAGAGGGUGACCGGCCACAUUGGGACUGAGACACGGCCCAAACUCCUACGGGAGGCAGCAGUGGGGAAUAUUGCACAAUGGGGGAAACCCUGAUGCAGCAACGCCGCGUGAGUGAAGAAGUAUUUCGGUAUGUAAAGCUCUAUCAGCAGGGAAGAAGAGAGACGGUACCUGACUAAGAAGCCCCGGCUAACUACGUGCCAGCAGCCGCGGUAAUACGUAGGGGGCAAGCGUUAUCCGGAUUUACUGGGUGUAAAGGGAGCGUAGACGGCUUGAUAAGUCUGAAGUGAAAGGCCAAGGCUUAACCAUGGAACUGCUUUGGAAACUAUGAGGCUAGAGUGCUGGAGAGGUAAGCGGAAUUCCUAGUGUAGCGGUGAAAUGCGUAGAUAUUAGGAGGAACACCAGUGGCGAAGGCGGCUUACUGGACAGAAACUGACGUUGAGGCUCGAAAGCGUGGGGAGCAAACAGGAUUAGAUACCCUGGUAGUCCACGCGGUAAACGAUGAAUGCUAGGUGUUGGUGGGCAAAGCCCAUCGGUG
rnacentral:rRNA from 1 species